rnacentral:rRNA from 1 species
UACGUAGGGGGCUAGCGUUGUCCGGAAUCAUUGGGCGUAAAGCGCGUGUAGGCGGUCCGGUAAGUCCGCUGUGAAAGUCGGGGGCUCAACCCUCGGAUGCCGGUGGAUACUGUCGGGCUAGAGUGCGGGAGAGGCGAGUGGAAUUCCUGGUGUAGCGGUGAAAUGCGCAGAUAUCAGGAGGAACACCAAUUGCGAAGGCAGCUCGCUGGAACGUAACUGACGCUGAGACGCGAAAGCGUGGGGAGCAAACAGG